rnacentral:lncRNA from 1 species
GGACAGGCAUUUAAGAGUUGAAAAUGGUAACUCCGAUCACAGCUGCCUCGAAACUCAAAAAAAAAAAAAAAAAAAAAAAAAAAAAAAAAAACACCAAACGAGGCAGCACCUCAGAAUUUAAGUGGGAAACAUUUCUUUGAAGUUUAUCAUGGUCUCUCUCUUUUCUUUGAAACGGUUCCUUUAUGAUUCUGAUUAUAUAAAUAUUCACAUCCUUGGGUGUCUCUGUCUUUCACAUUUCUUUUUCUUUAAUUUAAGCUGUUUACAUUUGUGUAUUCCUUUUGUAUGUAUGGGAUGCUGGGUGUGGCGCACUAUAGUGUGGAUGUCAGAGGGAGCUUUGGGGAGUUGCUUCUCUCAGGUUUGGUGGCCAGCGUCUUUACCUGGUGAGCCAUCCAUCUCUGGCCUAAUACAGUUCACAUUUCUUUAUUGUGUUUUUUGUUUGUUUGUUUGUUUUUGUUUUUUCCAACUCUCAGGCUUCAGGAGUAGUCUGCCUUGUUUUUUGAGGCAGGGUCUCUCCUUGGCCCAGGGCUUACCAAUUGAUGUUAGGCUGACUGGCCAGUGAGUAUCAGAUUCCUGUCUCAGCCUUUACUGACUGAGCUACACAGCUCCUCCUUUGUUUAACCCCCUCCUGGACUUUAAAUGAUAAAGACUAGAAAGUUAGUAACUUGUUGGCUCCUGUGAUGGUUUGUAUGUGCUCAGCCCAGGGAGUGGCACUAUUAGAAGGUGUGGCUCUGUUGGAGUAGGUGUGUCACUGUGGGUGUGGGCUAUAAGAUCCUCAUCCUAGUUGCCUGGAAGCCAGUAUUCUUCUAUCAGCCUUCAGGUGAAGAUAUAGAACUCUCAUCUCCUCCUGCACCAUGCCUGCCUGGAUGCUGCCAUGUUCCUGCCAUGAUGAUAAUGGACCAAACCUCUGAACCUGUAAGCCAGCCCCAAUUAGAUGUUGUCCUUAUAAGAGUUGCCUUGGUCAUGGUGUCUGCUCACAGCAGUAAAACCCUAACUAAGACAUCUCCUAAAUUUAGUUCAAAGCAGCUGAAAAGAGAGAACCCAGUGUGGUAAAUACCCAUAAAGACAUGGUAACUUUCUUUUCAAAGAUAAAGAGCAAAAGCUAAGGCACAAGAGUUAUACUUAUCGAUAAAGAAGUUAACGACGGCAUAGGAAGUACACUACAGUGCCCCAGCUGGAAGACGCAUCCUGUGAUUGGUUGGGCCGGGCUUACUCAGUAGCAUCCUUUCUCCUAGGUUCUGGGCCUCUUGUCCUUCAGAUCUUCCUUUCUUAGCAUUAAAAUAUGUGAAAGUUAUUGACUCCUUGAGCCCUCCAGUGCACAUGUCAAAGCCCCGACUGACUCCCAGUACCUGGAAGAUGGCUGUUUUUGCAAACAGAGUCUUUGAAGAGGAAAAUGAGCUGCCAUCCUCAUUAUGGCCUGUGGUCCAGUCUGAGUCUUGUUUUAUGAGGAGUUUGGAUUCUUUUAAGUGAUGGCCUGGCAGUGGUAACUGAAGGUGGGCACGGAAGAGAUGAGGGAUGACCGGGUACCACAUUCGAAUGUUCUAUAAAGAGUCUGUGCAUGGUGAGGAGAGGCCAGGGGCGAGGGCCAAGGAAGCUGCUCCUAUGAAGGCUGAAGGGUCCAGGAGAGUGAGCAUCUUCCCUGGGAGUUAAGGACAGAUACAGGAGGAUCUACAAGCGAGGCUGGUUGAGAUGGCUUAGUGGGUGAAGGUAUUUGCUGCCACCUGAUGACCUGAGUUGGAUCCCCAGACCUACAUCACAGAUGGAGAGAAUUGACCCUUACAAGUUGCCUUUUGACCUCCCCAUGCCCGCUGUGGCUCUUCCAACCACACACAUAUGCAUCCCUCAGAAGUAAAUGUAGUUAAAAAAG